AAUGGAAAGGAAGAACAAAAUUGAUAGAGAUGGAUGCUUCCGAUAAUAUUCUAGCUGGCCAGCUCCCAUCUCCACUCUCGUGAUACGAUCAGUUGCCACCAUCCCUGGCUGAACAGACCUUUUGGCGACUGGAUUGGAUUUGAGGAUCAACCUCUCUCUAUGCUGAAUAAACUCUUUCUUCACCAUAACCUAAUUAUAAUUGAUGAUUGGAGGCACACCAAUGGGGUAUCUAUAUAGAAUCACUGAUGGAUGUAUGGCAAAUAGGGCUGCAAAGCUCGAAUCAAUGGAGCUUUGCAGAAGCGUCAAGGAUAGGAUCGGUCUUAGAAUGAUUAACAAGGCAGAAGAUAGAGGACCCACAAGUUAUUGUCAUAAUAAUCGAUCUUAAGGCACAAUAAGAGGAUUCACGGGGCCUUGGCUCUUUGAUUUCAUUGAAGAAAGACAGAGGCUGAGAAGAACCAUAGGAUAUCCUUGGUGUAUUGCAACCGUCAUAGUUUCAGUAACUCAAGGAUUCCUAGAUUUGAAAGAGAAGCAAAAAUUCUCAGCAAUUGCAGCAUCAUCACACAAGGAAAAUUAAGAUGAUGGUGCUUCUUGGUAGAAGACACCAACGUUGGAGACAGAAGAUACACGAAGUCAGAUCCAAUGGGAACAGAGGAUUUUUGAUUUGGUAUGUUGAAUCAUUAACUAGAUCUUACCAUUCUAGGAUCCUGGAAAAGUGAACUCGCUGGUAUAAUCAGAAGAAGAAUGGUAAGAUAUAAAGACUGAAAAAAAAAGAACUCUCAAAUCAGCGAGUUUGUUCUUAACGUGCCGGUCGUAAGAAUCGUUUUAGGAUGGUCUUUGGUGAGAGUCUCUUCAUCAGUAUAUGUUUAUCGAUUGGAGAUAUACAAGAGUCAUGGUUAUUUGGCUAAGGGUCUCUAAAAGUCAUCAUGUUUCAUCACUCUUUAAAGUUCAAAUUUUGAAGAAAACUGGUUUGUUUCUGCUGCAAUAUCGAUGUGGUGUUUUGCAUUGGUGUACCUGAUUGCUCACGGUCUACGUUUUCUAAGUAAUUGAAGUCUUAAUUUAAAAGUUUAUAACACAUGG